UAAAUAGCCAGGCCAGCUUUGGCUGGUCGCCGGCUUCUUAGAGGGACUAUCGGCUCAAGCCGAUGGAAGUUUGAGGCAAUAACAGGUUGACCUACACAGGCCUGUAAAAGUAAGGGCCUCUUGAAAUAUUACUUGCUAGUCCAGCGUCUUAAUCUCUGUUGGAGGAGCCUCCUUCUGUCGGGCAGAGACAUGCUAAUGGUGCAUGUGACGUGGGCGACACCACCUGGUACAGGGAACGCUGGAGGCACCUAAAUAGGUGCCUUGGCCAACCCUGUGGCGAGCUUAGGUAGCGCUGAGCCGUCGCAACGCGCGCAAAGGGGUGGGC
rnacentral:rRNA from 1 species